AGAGCGAACGCUGGCGGCAGGCCUAAUACAUGCAAGUCGAACGGAUCCUUCGGGAUUAGUGGCGGACGGGUGAGUAACACGUGGGAACGUACCCUUUGGUUCGGAACAACUCAGGGAAACUUGAGCUAAUACCGAAUGUGCCCUUCGGGGAAAAGAUUUAUCGCCAUUGGAGCGGCCCGCGUCUGAUUAGCUAGUUGGUAGGGUAAAGGCCUACCAAGGCUACGAUCAGUAGCUGGUCUGAGAGGAUGAUCAGCCACACUGGGACUGAGACACGGCCCAGACUCCUACGGGAGGCAGCAGUAGGGAAUCUUGCGCAAUGGGCGAAAGCCUGACGCAGCCAUGCCGCGUGAAUGAUGAAGGUCUUAGGAUUGUAAAAUUCUUUCAGCGGGACGAUAAUGACGGUACCCGCAGAAGAAGCCCCGGCUAACUUCGUGCCAGCAGCCGC
rnacentral:rRNA from 1 species